GUGUCAGCCGCCGCGGUAAUACGAAGGGGGCUAGCGUUGCUCGGAAUCACUGGGCGUAAAGGGCGCGUAGGCGGCCGUUUAAGUCGGGGGUGAAAGCCUGUGGCUCAACCACAGAAUUGCCUUCGAUACUGGGCGGCUUGAGUCCGGAAGAGGUUGGUGGAACUGCGAGUGUAGAGGUGAAAUUCGUAGAUAUUCGCAAGAACACCGGUGGCGAAGGCGGCCAACUGGUCCGGCACUGACGCUGAGGCGCGAAAGCGUGGGGAGCAAACAGGAUUAGAUACCCUUGUAGUCC
rnacentral:rRNA from 1 species